GACAAGAAUAGGCAUCGUCAGCCAGGCCUGGUGCCCCCGUGGUUCUUCCACACCAACGGGACAUACUGCCCUGUAAAAACACGCAGCCAGGCCCGUGCCCCCGUGGUCCCUCCACACUGAGGGGACAUGCAGCCAGGCCAGGAAGAGGCCUCUUCACACCUGGUAACAGGCCCCACCCAGGCCCAGUAGCCCCAGCUUGGGUCUCUCCCAAGGUUGAGGAAACCAAGGCCCCGAGGGGCUGGGGCUAUGCCCCCAUAGGAACUUGUGAGCAGGUAACGAGACCUCUCCGUGGGCAGGGCCUCCUUGCCUGCAGGACCUGGAGCGGGGUUGCAAAUCCAGCCUGGCUGUGCUCAGAACAGCUGAGGGGCUCCGCCUGAGUGGAGUGACCCAGGACUCUCUGCUCAUAAUAAAGGCUGCGCAGGACUCUCUGCUCAUAAUAAAGGCUGCAGUUCUUGAACCAUCCACCCAGCCAGUCCUGCAGCACAGGAUGGACUCACUGCAGGGACAGCAGGACAGGGUACCUUAGAGCCACCGAGCUUUUCCCCAACUGCUUUCCAGAAAGCAGGGGUCUGGGUCUGCACCCCUGGAAGUACGAGGACUGUCACUGCGUAAACAGCAGCCUGGGGCACUGACAACUCUGAAUGUCCUGCGUUUCUCUGGUCACCAACAAGGUUUUGCUACAAACAUCUUCCCUGCAUGUGUUUCGUGUUCAAUAUUUGGGGGCUGCAGACAGCUGG